rnacentral:rRNA from 1 species
GACGGAAAGACCCCGUGAACCUUUACUAUAGCUUGACACUGAACAUUGAGCCUUGAUGUGUAGGAUAGGUGGGAGGCUUUGAAGUGUGGACGCCAGUCUGCAUGGAGCCGACCUUGAAAUACCACCCUUUAAUGUUUGAUGUUCUAACGUUGGCCCGUUAUCCGGGUUGCGGACAGUGUCUGGUGGGUAGUUUGACUGGGGCGGUCUCCUCCUAAAGAGUAACGGAGGAGCACGAAGGUUGGCUAAUCCUGGUCGGACAUCAGGAGGUUAGUGCAAUGGCAUAAGCCAGCUUGACUGCGAGCGUGACGGCGCGAGCAGGUGCGAAAGCAGGUCAUAGUGAUCCGGUGGUUCUGAAUGGAAGGGCCAUCGCUCAACGGAUAAAAGGUACUCCGGGGAUAACAGGCUGAUACCGCCCAAGAGUUCAUAUCGACGGCGGUGUUUGGCACCUCGAUGUCGGCUCAUCACAUCCUGGGGCUGAAGUAGGUCCCAAGGGUAUGGCUGUUCGCCAUUUAAAGUGGUACGCGAGCUGGGUUUAGAACGUCGUGAGACAGUUCGGUCCCUAUCUGCCGUGGGCGCUGGAGAACUGAGGGGGGCUGCUCCUAGUACGAGAGGACCGGAGUGGACGCAUCACUGGUGUUCGGGUUGUCAUGCCAAUGGCACUGCCCGGUAGCUAAAUGCGGAAGAGAUAAGUGCUGAAAGCA